AGUGAACGCUGGCGGUAGGCCUAACACAUGCAAGUCGAACGGCAGCACAGUAAGAGCUUGCUCUUACGGGUGGCGAGUGGCGGACGGGUGAGGAAUACAUCGGAAUCUACUUUUUCGGGGGGGAUAACGUAGGAAAACAUACGCUAAUACAGCAUACGACCUACGGGAUAAAGCAGGGGAUCUUCGGACCUUGCGCGAUUGAAUGGGACGAUGUCGGAUUAGCUAGUUGGCGGGGUAAAGGCCCACCAAGGCGACGAUCCGUAGCGGGUCUGAGAGGAUGAUCAGCCACACUGGAACUGAGACACGGUCCAGACUCCUACGGGAGGCAGCAGUGGGGAAUAUUGGACAAUGGGCGCAAGCCUGAUCCAGCCAUACCGCGUGAGUGAAGAAGGUCUUCGGGUUGUAAAGCCCUUUUGUUGGGAAAGAAAAGCUGUAGGUUAAUACCCCGCUGUUUUGACGGUACACAAAGAAUAAGCACCGGCUAACUUCGUG
rnacentral:rRNA from 1 species